rnacentral:tRNA from 1 species
UAAAAUGGUUUAAAAAAAACUAAAUUUCAUUGUAAAUGAAAUAUCUAAUGAUUUCAUUUU